UGUAGCAAUACAGUUGAUGGCGACCGGCAAACGGGUGCGGAACACGUACACAACCUUCCUUUUAGUGGAGAAUAGCCCAGGGAAACUUGGAUUAAUACUCCGUAACAUAUAGAAGUGGCAUCACUUUUAUAUUAUAGCAGCAAUGCGCUAGAAGAUGGGUGUGCGGCUGAUUAGAUAGUUGGCGGCGUAACGGCCCACCAAGUCGACGAUCAGUAACUGGUGUGAGAGCACGACCAGUCACACGGGCACUGAGACACGGGCCCGACUCCUACGGGAGGCAGCAGUAAGGAAUAUUGGUCAAUGGACGCAAGUCUGAACCAGCCAUGCCGCGUGGAGGAUGAAGGUCCUCUGGAUUGUAAACUUCUUUUAUUUGGGAAGAAACCCAUCUUUUCUAAGAUGGUUGACGGUACCAGAUGAAUAAGCACCGGCUAACUCCGUGCCAGCAGCCGCGGUAAUACGGAGGGUGCAAGCGUUAUCCGGAUUCACUGGGUCUAAAGGGUGCGUAGGUGGGCAAGUAAGUCAGUGGUGAAAUCUCCGGGCUUAACCCGGAAACUGCCAUUGAUACUAUUUGUCUUGAAUACUGUGGAGGUCAGCGGAAUAUGUCAUGUAGCGGUGAAAUGCUUAGAUAUGACAUAGAACACCAAUUGCGAAGGCAGCUGGCUACACAAAUAUUGACACUGAGGCACGAAAGCGUGGGGAUCAAACAGGAUUAGAUACCCUGGUAGUCCACGCCCUAAACUAUGGAUACUCGACAUUUGCGAUAAACUGCAAGUGUCUGAGCGAAAGCAUUAAGUAUCCCACCUGGGAAGUACGAUCGCAAGAUUGAAACUC
rnacentral:rRNA from 1 species